AACGGCCAGUUUGCCAGGGAUGGGUGGACCACUCAAAACCAACCUUUUUUAAAAAAUUCUUUUUGGAGAAGGUGAGAAAAGGGGAGGGACUGUUCACUGGCACGCAGUAGCAACAAGCAAGCUGAUUCUUCAACCCAUGACAAAAGCACAUCACCUUCACAUACAUCCAGCCCCACAAUGAUCCACACUCACUGGGGUUUUGACAGAGGGAUUCCCAUUUCACUCAGAAUCUAUGCCAUGCAAAGGAUUGCAUCAAAAUAUAUGAGUGCAUUAGAAUAGAAACGAUUGAAUACUUCAAACAUUUCUCAACAUCUCAGCCUGAUCCUGUUUACCAGGCUGGUGGUCAUCCAUAUUCAUGUUUUUGUUUUUUUGUCAGAUGGCCACAAAGCAGCUUUACAUGAAAUCCGUUUAAGUUGGCUGCAUCAUCAAUCUUUGAUGAAUCUCCAUUCAUGUUUAGGUCUGUUAUGAUUUUUCUUACUCACCUCAGUUGAUGAUAUAUGUACAUUAACGUCUGUAUCCUUCAUGGACAUCAAGAGAGAAAAUAUAGAUUAGGGACAAACAUUCAGUAGGAACUACCUAGACCUCUAUUCCAUCAGAUAUUCAUAUAUUGCUAUGUAUUACACAUUGGAUACAUGGCUUAGAAAUUGGAUUACUUGCAGUACAUCUGUAGUUUAAUUUGUCGGCACAUAACAUGGCUGACAAAGGGUUAAAUGGCAGCCCCUGAUAUGUAAAGUGUUAAAGGGUUAGCCCCUGAUAUGGAAAGGUAGUUCCAAUUUUCCCAGCGCCAGAUACUGGCAAGUUUGCAAGCACAAAUUUGCCUCAUUUAAAACAGUUAUGCCCACAGACACAACCACAGACACAGACAUACUUCUGCACACUAAAUUAGAACGGAACAUAGCGAGCGCUACAGCUGUUCUGUCCCAGCAGGCUUUAGUGGACGGCUUAGUUACAUGAGCACAAUCUUGAAGCACAUUUCAUUUGCAAUAGAACUGGGGCUGCUCCAUGCAGAUCGUUCUUCACUCCUUAGAUAACUCAGGACGCCAAUUUUAAGAAGCAGUUGAAGAACACCCAUCACAGCAUCCUCCCCCGCACAUGCAAGAACUCACACAAAGACAUACACACACACACACACACACACACACCCCACACACAUAUACUCGCAGACAGGAUAAUAACCAACAUUUGAUCUUGUUGGGCACACUACACUCUCACUCCCAAAUGCAGCCACAGACAUGAAACAACUCCAAACUAUCCCAAGCCAAAUCAUCUCAUGUCUCACGUUUCAUGUCUCAUUACACAUUCGUUUUUGGUUUGACACCCCAUGACCACAAUGAACAAAAUGAGAGCAUGCUGGGACUGAACUGGUAUGGCGAAUCAGGGCCUUUAUCACUGAAAAAGAGGACAAUCUCAAAGACGAUGCCUGCCAGCUUCAUCUCCACCAGGCUCCCCUGACGAUGGGGGCGCUGGGCGCCCUGAUCCCCUGGCAGGGGCAGACCUUCCUGGAGCCUAUGAAACUAAACAGGGCUGCUCCCGACCAGGGGGCUGGGCGUCCAGUCGCUCCCACAAGCAAACCCCCGGCCUCAUCACUUCAGUACCUUUUAGGCUGAAUUAAUUCACUAACGACCAAACUAAACCCCACUCACAAAUCAAAUGUAAAUAUAGGAACUCCUGCCUGUCUAAGCCGUUGGUUUUAAACGGAAAUGCCAUUGUUUCAAAGCCACAUUGCCAUCUUUCCAUCACGACCGACCACACACAAACACACAGAGUGACACUUGCGAGCCAGUGGGCAGUCCCUUCCCCUAGAAACACAGGUUUUCAUGAUCUAGAAGCAAGCCAAAGGCUGGACGGAUGAUUGAAAUGGACACUUGAGACUUUUUGUAUUUAUUGACAAAUCGAAACCAAAGAAACUUUUUCUGCACCUAACUGUUCUACAACUUAAAAAGAACUGUUAUAAAGAGGAAGAAAACUUAUAACAGCGAGGAUACCAAGGAAGAGGCGGGAGGUGAGGUCGCUGGGGGAGGCGGAGAGGUAGCUUCGUCUCCGCCUGACGCGACAGGGACUUUGAAAGGGGGAAGCAGAUUUGGGACUAAAAGGGUUAAACACGUGUGGAAGCGGUGUCCUCAGUGGCAGCUGCUUCCUAAGGCAGAAAUAAUGUGUCUCUCAAAAGUUGAAGAUUGUCUUUAACGUGUGCCUAUGCAGUUUUUUCACGAAAAAAUGGAAAAGAACAACGAAAACCUCAUCAGCUACAAUACCAAAGAUCCACAACAUAUUCCUACAGCAGUUUUUCCCCUCCCCUGUUCCUUUCCCCUGUACUUAAGCCUGGAGUACAUUCAGAGAAACACGCCACGCACACACAUGUGUACACUGACACUGGAAACGCAUGUGUGUGAGUGGAUUGUGAUGUGUGUGUGAUUCAUUGGGGAGUGUGCCUGCCUACAGACAUGGUGUCCAGGGAUUCAGCUCAUCUCGCAUACGUCACGCAGGCUACCUCGGUUCUCCACACACUCAGCACUGUAAAUCCUAGCCUGACAAACAUGUGGUCCGUUCAGCUUUUUAUGCUCCGAGACACAGAGCGUGUGCUUCAGCAAAACCACGUACCAAAGAUAACUAAAGCACACUCCUGUGACACGGGGCAAGCCCAUUCCAACUAGGAAACUGUACAUUACUUACUUACUUACAUUGUCAUGCCUAUACUUAUGGUAUGUGCUAAGUGAUAGACUUAAAUCCCAUCUGUUCAGUGUCGUCAUAAAUACAUAGCUAGUCCAGGAUCACAUUUCCACACAGACAAGUAGGCUCACUGCUAAUUCUGCACAGUAGUAGCGCCCUACACUAUUCAGGUUUCACAUCAAAGAGACAGACGGCUUAUAUAUGUAUGUACUGAAUGCUGAAGUUGUAGUGAUGAGGGAUAAAGGGAUGUAUGGCAUGUCAUUUAUAAGAAUACUGUCUUUUAAAACCAAAAAAUAAUGUACCCUUACUCAAAUGCAAAGUUACUAUGAAACCAAAGAUGCUUCAUUAUGGAAGAGCAAUACAGUUACGUUUAGAAAGAUGGACCGGUCUACAGUCUAUCCCAAAGAGGAAUUCAUCAACCCCUUCUCUCCCUCUCUCUGUCCUACAUUCAGCUCAUUCUGUGCAGAGUACUGAAUCCCCUCUCUCAUGUCUGUAAAGCGGCGCUCCAAUGGGUCACAAGGGUCAGGUGUUCAAAGACACAUCCAUGACGUGUUCAAUUUCUCUCAAGAACAAAACAGACAAAGUAGUCCACCCCCCCCAGUCACAGUACUGAAAAAGCCAAAAAAAAGGACAAAAACCACACGUUUCUUCAGUUGAAGAAAAAACUGCUCAACUAUCGGUCGAAUAGCUUUACCCUAUAGUUUUCAUUCUUGAUAACUGUAGGUCCAAAGAUCCUCCAUCGCUCCAGGCCUCUGGGGCGGCGCUGGCGAGGGAGUCCCUCCUCCAUUCACUCACUGCAGUCUGAUCUUGAGGGACACGUGCCCACCAUGGAUAUGAAAUCAAACCAAAAAAAAGAGGUUUUCAUUGCUUGUCUUAGUACUUACUUUUGAUUUUUGCCUAUGCCUAUGGACAACUGUCUUUCCUAGGUUUAGAAUGCUAUAAUUUUAUUUAUGUAAUUUAUAUUUGCUAUGAUUGAACAUUAAUUUAAAUGACCAAAAACUCCCCUGAAACCCUUUCUCCCAAUUAGCUUGCCAAAGUUUACAUUUGUUGUCUUUCUUUAAGUGUUUGACACUGUCAGACUUAUUUAUUUAUGACAAAAUGUGCUAGUACACAAGCAUAGCUUUUUUAAACCUAAUUAUUUAAUAUUAUUUAAUUAGAUGUAAUUGUGUGAAUGAAUAUUUAUGGGUAUUUAAGAAUGUUAGCGCAUCUAAGAUGCAGUGCUUAUGUCUCCCCCUGUUAAUUUAUUAUUAGUUAGCUUUACUUUAAAAAGCAACAGAUCGAGUAUUUAAUUUCCUUUAGACUUAAUGAAAGAGUGAAUGUUCAAAAUUUAGAAGUGUCAGUAGAAAGCUGUAAUUUUCAUGUCACCAAAUUACUGAGAAUUUAGUUUGAUCUUCCUUUGAUUUGUUUCUGUUCAUUUGCUUCCGAAUGAAAACAAUCUCUUGUUGUAACUCUCUGAGCACACACUGCGUCUGUACUCUAGAGGUCAUUUAGCUGUGAUACUGAGAGACCUUUUUUUUUUUUUUGUUUUGCAUACUGUUUGUUGGCCAUUGACGGACAAGCAAUGAAUUUCAGACUGAUGUUUGUGACACGGAUCAGACAGGGCCGCGCGUUGACUGAGAUGGGUGCGAACACACCAAAGAUAACUGCGAUUGCUGAGAGGAUGUUCAUCGCUUCACUCGUAGAAGGAAAACAGAGGAAUCCCUUAAAAACUAGCUGCUUCCAAGACUGACUUGUGUGUGUGUAAAAAAAAACCUUUCUACUUCUAUAGUGAGAACCAAAGAGGCUACCUCACUGACUUUUCCAUUUGUAAUUUUAAUCGUGUUGAUGAAACCAAAGAUACCAAAGAUUUUUUUUUUCUCGAGUACGGUCUGCGCUUCACCCAUGCUUUCAUUUAUGAUAAUGUCACCCUCUCUUUUCCUAUUCUGCUCUGUCUUUUUUCUAUUGAUUUCUGAGACACAUCCUCUCUCUUCCCCAUGAAGAUACAAGUGGCCAGGGAAGUGAUUGGGAUGUAAGCUCAAAGCCUUGUCUUCCAGAACGUUCCUCACUACGCAAAAACAGAGCUGCGUUGUCAAGAGUCAAACUCCUGCCCCAUAAAAAGAACACCUUUGCACUGAAGUAGAAGACUGGCUGUGCCUCCCUCCCUCCCAAGCUCUCCUCCUGCUUUGACACGUUUAUUGAACCGUUUUUAGUUCAAUCAGAGUGAAUGGCACGCUUACAAUCAGUUGUCACUCGCUACUGUGCUUAUAAUUAAAUGAAUGCUCAAGAAUGAUUUUAUGUUGAUGUAAACAAACUGUAAACAACAGCAAGUGUAGACGUCCGGGUCCACAAUCAGGCAGCCUCUGGAGGCGUUACCCUCCAGCUUCACACAAAAGAUGGAAAUGGAGUUUUAAUAGCAGUUUCUGCUUCAGUGCAAACAUGUCAAAACCAAAAACCAAAACCAAACCAAAGAACCCCCUCCCCUGUCUGAAACCAAAGUCUGUGGUGAGGACGUGUCAGUUCUGGAGGACAUGAGCUCUUUUCAGAUGAUUUAGUACAGGACAGCUUCUACAAUGCCACUAGUACUCUCUCUAACUGCUACUUCUGCUCCUUCUAGUAAUCAUUCCCUCCUGUUGAAGUCAAGUGUGCUUUAAGUGGGGGCUCUCACUAGCUGCUGAAGUAGUAUGUCAUGUGUAACAACCUACAUCAUGUGCUGCCACAAGUGUUUUAUGUACAAUUUGGCAUAUAUUAUGUUACCCUUCAGUAUGCACACUGAAACUCCUUACUGAAAGUACCUGGGAACUGGACACUUGGUGCAUGACCUGAGAUGACUUAUUAUUAAAAACCAAAUUCUGUGCAUUUUUCCUCCUGUGACUGUAUACUUACUUACUGUAUACUUACUUUUUUUAUUUUUCAAACAAAAGGAGCCGGCCUCACAAAUAUGUGGAGAGCGUUUUCAUAGCAAAGGAUGAGAUACCCGUGGGACGCGUGCCUUGCUUGAACCAAAGUGAAGUCUAGACCUCUCUGUCCUUUCUAUUCUUGUGAAUACCUCAGUGUUUAACAGGCCGGUGCACGCCUUCGCUAAUGUGCUCUCGGUUUGGUGGUGCUUUGCAAUGCAAUCAUGCAAAGAACCAACAAACAAACAAAACAAACAAAAAGAGACUAUACCAAAGGAUUUAAAAUGAGUCUUCCCCCCCCCCCUUUCUGUCUUUCUCUCUAUCUCUCGCCUCUCAACGGUUGCAAAGCUUUAAAAAGUGGAAAAAAGAUACAUUUGUGGCAUGACAUUAGCGCAGACCGUGCUUUUCCUUACCAAAUGUUCUCAGAUAUACCUCAUAGAUAAUAGUGUUUAGGGUAAUGUUAAUAUAGCGUAUGUAAUAAAUUAUUCACUUGCUCUUCUUUUGGUAACUGUGACUUUAUGAGACAAACAAUGGAAAAAUGCUUUAUACAUUUUAAGUUGUGAUUUUUUGUAAUAGUUGAAGAGGUGCGCUUACCAAAAAAAAAAAAAGAAAAAAAAAAUGCUUGUCUCCCCUUUGCUAAUGUGUCUGUUUCUCAUCUUUUGUGCUUUGAGGAUUACGCUGUUUCCUCUGUUUCUUUGUUUUCUUUUCUGUCCUUAUUUCAUUUGAUGGUUCUUUUGUUUUCGGUGGGAUGGCUGAAUAUACCAAAAGCUUUGCUUGUUUCUUUUGUUUCUUUUUUCUGUUUUGGAUUUGGGAAUGGUUGCAGAGUAAGCCUCACGUUUACAGUUUUCAUAUUGUGCUGGAGGAAAUCACUGCUCUUGUGUUGACACGUAGGCUUCAUCCAUCGUCCACACUUCCCCCCGGUUCUUUUUCUUUUUCUCUUUUUGGGGGAAGCCUCUCCUGUUCUGUGCUAACGGUGUAGCAUCACACUUAGCAGCUGCCAAUCACUGCUGUAGCCCCAGUUUUAUGCAUGACUAUAUUUACCGUUAGCUAACAGUUUAAUGCAUUGUGAUGAUUAUGUUUCACUCACACCUCAGAGGACGUCAUUCCUGCAUGUUAGCCUGGACUUUCUGUUUUUAUAAAAGUGCAGCUCAGUUGUGUAUAUAUUGACCCAAGCUACCUUCCACAGUCAGACACAGCAAGAAAAACAUGAUGAAGGAUGAGGUGUGGUUCUUUGAAAUAGAACAGGCUGUGCACCACCAUUAAGCCACACCAGAGGGUCCUCGUUAGAUUGUGUCAAACGAUGUAUCUGAUGGAUAUGGAGAAGUCUGUAAAAUACAGGUUUUUUUUGUUUGUUUUGUUUGCGCCAAACCCAUUCAUCCCGAGCCACGACAUUCUAUCGCUUAGCGUUUUCUUUCCCUUUGGUUUUGUGUCUGUUUUUGAUGAGAGUAGCUUCCUUUUGUUUUUAUCCAAAUGAUUCCAUAAAGCCUCAAACUCCCCGAUGUCACAGACUGUGCUGUGUCUGACAAUCUCUUCGUGCAUCAACACCUCACUUUGUGUCAGUGCUAAGCUCACACCUCUUAGCUCAUCAUCAAGUGCUGAAAAAUACCAAAGUUGAAGUCUCUCUGGAGUAUAUACCCUGAGAGAUCCACACAAAACCCCACUACGUUGGCCCACUGGGGACAAACCUCACAGCGUUUCUGCUGUAGUCCAAACCUUGGGGCACCUUACAAUAAAACCACAGAACCCUUGUCAGUGUCACUGGCUGGAUAUAUAGAGACCAUCCAUUGACAGUAUUCACAAGCGCAAACCUAGCCAUUGACAAGCGUAUGUGAUGAAGCAGCUCAACAUGUUAACAAACUGACACAGAGGAAGUCAUACCCAUUCUAAAGAUGUCAUUAUUAUUGGUGGGGCAAGUUCAAAUGUUCUUAAGUAAAAAGUGAUUUCAGUUGAUUUUUGGUUGUUUUUACAAAGACAAAAAAGUUGUACGAAUGUCUUUUCAUUUUCUCAAUUCAUCUCAAGAUCUCAUGAUUUCUUUUCCUUAUAGUGCUGAAGUGUCUUUCUUUUUUUUUUUAAAGGAUGGUAUUUUUGUUGCAUUGACUAAAGUGUUGAUGGGAAUAUUGGUGUUAAAUUAUAACAUUGUUCACUACCAAUCAACCUAUGCUCAAAGAGAGACAACUAUUCAGAGUAAAUGUUCUUCCACAUACUAUGUACCAAAAUAAAGAAAUCACCAUGGUUGUAUCCUUAACAAUUUGUCCUCAUGACUUGAAAACUAUGAAUGUUUGGCUGAAUUCCAUACAAAACCUGAGGUCGAUCUUCCCUAAAGGGCCCAUUGUAGACAAGAAGGUGGCCACCAUUGCAUUUUUGAACAAAUUUCAGAAAUCUGCAACACCCAUGUCAUACAAACUCUUCAAUUGUAUUUGACCUGAGGUUGAUCUCCAGCUGUGAACUGACUAUAUUCGGACUAACUCCUGAUUACCAAUAGGAUUAUCAGUGCUGUCCUGGAGACGCCUAUUUAAGCAGUUGAACUCAAAAGGCCAAACGCCUUGCAAAGCAAAUCGAAAUUUUGAAACAUACGCCAAAACUGCAAUCUCUAAACAUUGGAAUGGUGGGGUUGGAAGUCACUCUAAACAACACAGUGCUUCACAUUAUGGACCACAGGUGCAAGUAAAACUUGGAAGUAUUCUAAGGGAAAGAACAGAACAUGUCUAUUUAUAUGGUGGGACUGAAAUCAAAUAAAGGGUACAAAUAUUGUUUGUCCAUCCUAUCUUUUAAUGUCAUUCCACUCUUUAACACCAUUCUGGCAUGCCCUAAUGUACAUCAUUUACUCGUUUGGAGUCUUCUGAAUUUGGGUGAUAAAACUACUGAAUUGUGUAACUGACAUUCCCACGUCCCAGUGUAUGACUGACACCAUUCAAAUGCAAAAGGAUUCUGCCUGAAUAUGUACACAACCGAGACAAAUCCGUCAGACAACAUUCGAUCUGUUUGCAUGUCCUUAUGGGUAUUUUUUCAGUUUGAACAGUGCAUAAUGGGUCUGAAGUCUUCAAAAUAAAAGCUCUGUGUAUGAACUCCUACAUUCAAGGUAGGACACCUCUCAUCUGUGCAAUAUUAUUAGCUGUGUUUUAAAAGAAAAAGAAAAAAAAAGGAGAAAAAAAAAGAAAACUUUGAAACGUUAACGGUUAUGAAAAUACAACUAUCCGUGUCAGUGUUACAUGUUGAAAUGACAGCAUACAUUGGAGCUUUCAAUAUUGUUCGAGUUGUUGAUGUAUUGGGCACUUUAAAACUGUGGCAGAACAUCCCCAGUCCUAUCCCCAGAGGAUUCAGUUGUGUGUGCGCGUGUGUGUACUGUUUAUAUCUGCUGUUUCUUCAUUAAGCUCUCCCAUUGCACACAUUAGUGUUUCUGUCUUGACCAUGCUUUCAUUUAGAUUUGAUCCUUCCUGUACCUUUAUUCUUUUUAUUCCCACUAUCAUCAAAUGGUAGUGCUGUAUAUUCUGCUAUUAAUAUCAAAUAAACAGCUUUGAUUCAUCACUUUGCAUCCCGGUCUGGUUAAUG
ensembl:lncRNA